CUUACUCCGGUUCUCGUACGAUGACCGAAGUUAAGCAACAUUGAUCCUGGUCAGUACCUAGAUGGGUGACCGCUUGGGAAUACCAGGUGCUGUAAG